AGUGAACGCUGGCGGUAGGCCUAACACAUGCAAGUCGAACGGCAGCACAGUAAGAGCUUGCUCUUACGGGUGGCGAGUGGCGGACGGGUGAGGAAUACAUCGGAAUCUACUUUUUCGUGGGGGAUAACGUAGGGAAACUUACGCUAAUACCGCAUACGACCUACGGGUGAAAGCAGGGGAUCUUCGGACCUUGCGCGAUUGAAUGAGCCGAUGUCGGAUUAGCUAGUUGGCGGGGUAAAGGCCCACCAAGGCGACGAUCCGUAGCUGGUCGGAGAGGAUGAUAGGGAAGAGUGGAACAGAGACAGGGAGAAGAGCACUGCGGGAGGCAGCAGAGGGGAAGAGUGGACAAGGGGCGAAAGUAUGAUACAGCCGUGGAGAGGGUGAGAAGAAGGUGUUGGGAUGGGAAAGCACGUUAAGGGGGGAGGAAGAGCAGGAAGGUAAUACCUUGCUGUUGUGACGGUACCAACAGAAGAAGCAACGGCUAACUUCGUG
rnacentral:rRNA from 1 species